rnacentral:rRNA from 1 species
GAUGAACGCUGGCGGCGUGCCUAAUACAUGCAAGUCGAGCGAACAGAUAAGGAGCUUGCUCCUUUGACGUUAGCGGCGGACGGGUGAGUAACACGUGGAUAACCUACCUAUAAGACUGGGAUAACUUCGGGAAACCGGAGCUAAUACCGGAUAACAUAUUGAACCGCAUGGUUCAAUAGUGAAAGGCGGCUUUGCUGUCACUUAUAGAUGGAUCCGCGCCGUAUUAGCUAGUUGGUAAGGUAACGGCUUACUAAGGCAACGAUACGUAGCCGACCUGAGAGGGUGAUCGGCCACACUGGAACUGAGACACGGUCCAGACUCCUACGGGAGGCAGCAGUAGGGAAUCUUCCGCAAUGGGCGAAAGCCUGACGGAGCAACGCCGCGUGAGUGAUGAAGGUCUUCGGAUCGUAAAACUCUGUUAUCAGGGAAGAACAAAUGUGUAAGUAACUGUGCACAUCUUGACGGUACCUGAUCAGAAAGCCACGGCUAACUACGUG